rnacentral:rRNA from 1 species
AGCGAACGUUAGCGGCGGGCCUAACACAUGCAAGUCGAACGCGAAAGGUCUUCGGACUGAGUAGAGUGGCGCACGGGUGAGUAACACGUAGGUAAUCUACCCUUUGGCGGGGAUAACGUUCCGAAAGGAGCGCUAAUACCGCAUAAGACCACGGAGUCUCCGGACGCUGUGGGAAAAGGUAGGCCUCUUCUUGAAAGCUACCACCGAAGGAUGAGCCUGCGUCCCAUCAGCUAGUUGGUAAGGUAAUGGCUUACCAAGGCGAAGACGGGUAGCUGGUUUGAGAGAAUGAUCAGCCACACUGGCACUGGAACACGGGCCAGACUCCUACGGGAGGCAGCAGUGAGGAAUAUUGGGCAAUGGGCGAAAGCCUGACCCAGCCACGCCGCGUGAGUGAUGAAGGCCCUCGGGUCGUAAAGCUCUGUGGAGAGGGACGAAAACCCUGGUUUCAAAUAGGCUCCAGGCUUGACGGUACCUCUUUAGCAAGCACCGG